rnacentral:rRNA from 1 species
CCUAGCGGCGGACGGGUGAGUAAUGCGUAGGAAGCUACCCGAUAGAGGGGGAUACCAGUUGGAAACGACUGUUAAUACCGCAUAAUGUCUACGGACCAAAGUGUGGGACCUUCGGGCCACAUGCUAUCGGAUGCGCCUACGUGGGAUUAGCUAGUUGGUGGGGUAAUGGCUCACCAAGGCGACGAUCCCUAGCUGGUUUGAGAGGAUGAUCAGCCACACUGGAACUGAGACACGGUCCAGACUCCUACGGGAGGCAGCAGUGGGGAAUAUUGGACAAUGGGCGCAAGCCUGAUCCAGCCAUGCCGCGUGUGUGAAGAAGGCCUUCGGGUUGUAAAGCACUUUCAGCGAGGAGGAAGAGGUGAGUGUUAAUAGUACUCAUCUUUGACGUUACUCGCAGAAGAAGCACCGGCUAACUCUGUGCCAGCAGCCGCGGUAAUACAGAGGGUGCAAGCGUUAAUCGGAAUUACUGGGCGUAAAGCGCACGUAGGCGGUUUUUUAAGUCAGAUGUGAAAGCCCCGGGCUCAACCUGGGAAUUGCAUUUGAAACUGGAAAACUAGAGUGUGUGAGAGGGGGGUAGAAUUCCAAGUGUAGCGGUGAAAUGCGUAGAGAUUUGGAGGAAUACCAGUGGCGAAGGCGGCCCCCUGNCACAACACUGACGCUCAGGUGCGAAAGCGUGGGGGAGCAAACAGGAUUAGAUACCCNNNNAGUCCACGCCGUAAACGAUGUCUACUAGCUGUUCGUGACCUUGUGUCGUGAGUAGCGCAGCUAACGCAUUAAGUAGACCGCCUGGGGGANNACGGUCGCAAGAUUAAAACUCAAAUGAAUUGACGGGGGGCCCGCACAANCGNUGG